CCCCCGGCCCCUCCCUGCCCCUGGAGCUGGAGGAGCUGCAGGAGACCGAGAUCAGCUUCUGAGCGCCUCGGGAUUCCUGCUGGAGCUGCCCCGGGAACGUCCUCGGGAUUCCCCUGGAAUUCUGGGAAAAGCCAGAGAGGGAUGGAUGGAAACCUCGGGAACAGGCACCCGGAAUUCCCAGGGAUUCCCGGAUUUUGGGAUGAAAACACGGGAGAGAAUUCCUGGAAAA